UACAGAGGUCCCAAGCGUUGUUCGGAUUCACUGGGCGUAAAGGGUGCGUAGGCGGCAUGGCAAGUUUGGUGUGAAAGCUCCGGGCUCAACCCGGAAAUUGCACUGAAAACUGCCGUGAUAGAGGAUUGGAGGGGAGACUGGAAUUCUUGGUGUAGCAGUGAAAUGCGUAGAUAUCAAGAGGAACACCAGUGGCGAAGGCGAGUCUCUGGACAAAUCCUGACGCUGAGGCACGAAGGCCAGGGGAGCAAACAGG
rnacentral:misc_RNA from 1 species